UUCAGCAAAGAGAGAGCAAGUCGUCGAGCACUGCUAUGAUUUUGAUGGGUGGAAGAACUGCAGAGAGAGAAUGGUGUUCCUCUGCAGUAGAAAAUGGGUGCCUGAAAAUAUUUGUGUGAAAAGGCGCCGCUGAGAUCCCAGUCCCAAUGACAGAAUUUUAAUUAUUUUUAAUCCCAUUGCCAGCGCAUGCGCCUUGCGAGGAGCACUGUGGACCUUCCUUCCACCCUCUACCAGCAAUAAGGCGCAGCUGAACUGGUUUCAUCGCAGCGUUAGCUGAAGACACAGGCUUUGAUGGGAAAGGGAAAGGGAAGAUCGGAGGAAGACAUGCCAGCGGCAGCUCUAAGAAAACAAAUUUAACAGCCCCAGAAAAAAAAUGUCAACGUGGGAAGCCAAGGGCUGAAAGAAGGAGCAAAUUAUCAACCGAUUAAGAUUGCACGAAACCGAUUAAGAACCAUAAAAUGCAAAUGAAAAGGCAGUGAGGCAAUACUUAUAAUUGAAAAGAGAUUCAACUCCGUCUUUUAUUUUGGGUUUUGCUUUCAUUGAAAGUCGACUGCAGGACAAUUCCAUUCAUAUUGGUUUGUUAAAAGGAUCCUCCAAUUGCGCACACGCACACACACACACAAAUAUAAUUGAAUUCAUUAAUUAUAAGAGAUAUUUUAUACGCAGGAAAAGAACAGGGCACAAAGAAAGCAAACUGAGUACAUUUUUCGCCAAUCUGCCAUAAGAUUAUGCAAUGAAAAAUACAAACAGUGAAAGGAUCGUAUUUCCACACAGUAUUAUCGUAAGCUACUGUCGUCUACAACGAUUUAUUGUGCCAAAAUUGGAAGAGGAAAAGAAUGGGCUCGUCCGGGAUUUGAACCCGGGACCUCUCGCACCCUAAGCGAGAAUCAUACCCCUAGACCAACGAGCCAGAUUGUAAAAACCUUGUCUUUAGCUUAAAGGAAGCUGACAGUGUUUGCUUACCCCUUUGGUUUAGGCUUUGAUUCUGUGAAUUCCGAAAUGGCAAUGUCAUUUAAUAGUUAAAUAACUUCCUUUUGUUAAAGAGAACUGCCUAUUGCUGAGGCGUGGAAAAGAAAGUAAACAGUUCCUUCCGGUGA